UGGGGAAUUUUGGACAAUGGGCGCAAGCCUGAUCCAGCAAUGCCGCGUGCGGGAAGAAGGCCUUCGGGUUGUAAACCGCUUUUGUACGGAACGAAAAGGCUCUGGCUAAUACCUGGGGCUGAUGACGGUACCGUAAGAAUAAGCACCGGCUAACUACGUGCCAGCAGCCGCGGUAAUACGUAGGGUGCGAGCGUUAAUCGGAAUUACUGGGCGUAAAGCGUGCGCAGGCGGUCUUGUAAGACAGAGGUGAAAUCCCUGGGCUCAACCUAGGAAUGGCCUUUGUGACUGCAAGGCUGGAGUGCGGCAGAGGGGGAUGGAAUUCCGCGUGUAGCAGUGAAAUGCGUAGAUAUGCGGAGGAACACCGAUGGCGAAGGCAGUCCCCUGGGCCUGCACUGACGCUCAUGCACGAAAGCGUGGGGAGCAAACAGG
rnacentral:rRNA from 1 species